ACCUUUGUGGUGUAAUGGUCAACACACUUGGCAUGUAUUCAAGAGGUCCAAGGUUUGAGUCCUGGUGAGGGCA
rnacentral:tRNA from 1 species